UACGGGGGGAGCAAGCGUUGUUCGGAUUUACUGGGCGUAAAGGGCGCGUAGGCGGUCAGCACAAGUCAGUUGUGAAAUCUCCGGGCUUAACUCGGAAAGGUCAACUGAUACUGUGCGACUAGAGUGCAGAAGGGGCAACUGGAAUUCUCAGUGUAGCGGUGAAAUGCGUAGAUAUCGAGAGGAACACCUGCGGCGAAGGCGG
rnacentral:rRNA from 1 species